rnacentral:rRNA from 1 species
GAUCCUGGCUCAGGAUGAACGCUGGCGGCGUGCCUAACACAUGCAAGUCGAACGGAGAUGCGAUGUGAGCGAGAGGUGCUUGCACUGAACAAUCUUUUCGUAUCUUAGUGGCGGACGGGUGAGUAACGCGUGGGUAACCUGCCUUAUACCGGGGGAUAACACUUAGAAAUAGGUGCUAAUACCGCAUAAGCGCACGGUGUCGCAUGACACAGUGUGAAAAACUCCGGUGGUAUAAGA